rnacentral:rRNA from 1 species
UGGUCGGUACAGAGAGAUNCAAUAUCGCGAGGUGGANCCAAACUUUNAAACCGAUCUCAGUUCGGAUUGCAGGCUGAAACUCGCCUACAUGAAGCUGGAGUUGCUAGUAAUCGCGAAUCAGAAUGUCGCGGUGAAUACGUUCCCGGGCCUUGUACACACCGCCCGUCACACCAUGAGAGUUGGCAAUACCCAAAGUUCGUGAGCUAACCGCAAGGAGGCAGCGACCUAAGGUAGGGUCAGCGAUUGGGGUGAAGUCGUAACAAGGUAUCC